rnacentral:rRNA from 1 species
UGGGGAAUUUUGGACAAUGGGCGAAAGCCUGAUCCAGCAAUGCCGCGUGUGUGAAGAAGGCCUUCGGGUUGUAAAGCACUUUUGUCCGGAAAGAAAUCCUUGGCUCUAAUACAGUCGGGGGAUGACGGUACCGGAAGAAUAAGCACCGGCUAACUACGUGCCAGCAGCCGCGGUAAUACGUAGGAUGCAAGCGUUAAUCGGAAUUACUGGGCGUAAAGCGUGCGCAGGCGGUUUGCUAAGACCGAUGUGAAAUCCCCGGGCUCAACCUGGGAACUGCAUUGGUGACUGGCAGGCUAGAGUAUGGCAGAGGGGGGUAGAAUUCCCACGUGUAGCAGUGAAAUGCGUAGAGAUGUGGAGGAAUACCGAUGGCGAAGGCAGCCCCCCUGGGCCAAUAUGACGCUCAUGCACGAAAGCGU